UGAGCUGUCCUGGAGAGUCCGUUGAAGUUGACAGAUGUGCACAGGAAUUCUCCCGAUUUCAUCAGGAUUUUCAAGGCUUGGAUAUUCUUGGAAUUCUGCCGAAUUUAGAUCUUCUUCUCCAUAUUGGACUUGGUUUGGACCUCUCCUUCAUGGACUAGGCUUUGUGGAUCAGCUGCUUUGCUUCCCUAGGUCCAUCAGGAACACUCCUCUCAGCACUCUUCUACAUGUCACCUAAAUAUCAGAGAAGUUAAAUCAAUUUGUGACAAUGUAAAAGCUUUACAGAAUCAUAAAAAAACAUCUCUAAGGCUCCACAAAUCAGCUUUUGACAAUUUUCUACAUCAUUCCUCUAUGUUUAACACGUUUUACACAUAACUCCACCAAAAACUUUCGACUCUACAUUAUGACUCUAUUCUAUGACAAUAAGAGAUAAUCAAAGUACAAAUGGAGGUAAUAACACAUUAAGAAUGUCGCAUUUUAUGCUCCUAUCACUCUUAAAUCCAUAAAAAUUCAUAUAGGAAAUAUGGACGUGUGUAAAUAUGACAGGACCUACCCCGGAUUUCACUCUGAAAUCCGGAGAGGCUCUGCGGGGGCCUACUAACAAUCCAUUCCCAAAUACUUCCCUUAACCAACCACCCUUUACUUUUGGAUAUGGAUGCUUCAUUUCUUACAACAAACCACGUUUAAUAACUCAGGUUACCUUAAUUAACCCUUAACCAUCCGAUUUAACUCCAGCAAACACUUUAAUAAUUCAAUUAAUUGCUUUACUUGAAAUCAAUUAGUUCUUUAAUAAGAACAAACCUUUUCACUAAAACCAUUCCUCAUUUGUCCAAUUAAUUUUCUUAACCCGUACAAUCCUCAAUCACAACACAAUUACAAUUGUUUCUUGAUUUAUACAUUCCUCUUUCAUUAAACACCAACCAUUUUACUAGGGUCUUUAUGAAUCUUUGUUGUUGUUUUUGACUAGCGGGGCUAGUCAAUUAUUUUGGAUUUUCUGUUACGAGGGUUAUUAUUUAUCUUUGUUGUUAGUUAGACUA
rnacentral:lncRNA from 1 species